rnacentral:tRNA from 1 species
ACCUGGGUGGCUCAGUCAGUUGAGUGUCUGACUUUGACUCAGGUCAUGAUUUCAUGGUUUGUGGGUUCAAGCCCCACACCAGGCU